CAGAAGAUUUCUUCACUACCGGCUGUAAUAGUCACAAACACAAAUACAGACAGCAGAGAGAGAAAGGCCUGUAGGCUGUGCAUUAUCCUUUCACCGUCAUCUCCUCUCCGCCAUAAUAACGGGUGCAUGCAUGGCAGACUGUUAGGAUACAGCGCGGGUUUUAAGCAGGUGUGAAGUGGAGAUGCUGUGAGUGAGUGUGUGUACAUGUGAGUGUGUGUGUGUGUGUGUGUGUGUGUCGUGGUGACCGGGUGUGCUGUGAUGUCAGGUGACAGCAGCACAUUGUCUUGGAAGGGUGUGGAGACCUAUGGCCAAUCAAAGUCCUCGGACACUUCCCAGACGACGGUUGCCGGGGACGGCGGUCCAACUAAGAUCAUCAAAGUGUGUUUCACCAGCAACAGUGCUAACCUGGGGAAGAACUUUAAACUAGUCCGCUGUCAUGAGGGCAUGACUGUACGGAAUAUAAUAUCAGCGGUGUUGUCCAGUGGAUGUGUGGGUCCAGACAUACAACACUCCCUCUGCUACGGCCUGCUGCUGAAACACCUGAAGUCAGCUGAGGUCCAUUGGCUGCACCCCGACCUCACCGUGUCUGAACUGCGGCUACGCUACGAACAACAGCAUCUGGAGGCAGAGUGGAGAUAUGACCUGCGCAUUAGGUACGUCCCUGCCGACUUCAUAGAGAAGUUUAAAGAGGACAGAACCACACUGCUCUACUUCUACCAGCAGGUGAGAAGUGACUACAUGCAGCACUAUGCCAGUAAAGUCAGUGAUGGGAUGGCUUUGCAGUUAGGUUGUCUGGAGAUCAGGAGGUUCUAUAAAGACAUGAACCCCAAUGGACUGGAGAAAAAGUCCAACUACGAACUGUUAGAGAAGGAUGUAGGACUGGGUCUGUUCUUCCCCAAGGAGAUGACUGACAACAUGAAGUCGAAGGCUUUGCGUAAGAUGAUUCAGCAGACGUUCCAGAGGUACUCGUGUCUGAAGGAAGAGGAGUGUGUUGUGAAAUUCUUUACCACGCUAGCAGACUGCUGUGACUACAUACAGGAGAGUUUCACCUGUCAGUUAGUGCAAGGCUGGAGUCUGACGGUGGACCUGGUCAUUGGCCCCGAGGGGAUCCGCCAGCGUGCAGAUAAAAACUCUGUGCCUGUCUGCUUGGCCAGUUUCUCUCAGGUCCGCAGUAUCAGAUGCUCUCAGCAGAACGAUGGCCAAGCGCUGCUAACAGUUGACAUACAGGGAGCCAAGCAGCCUCUGUCGGUGACCACGGCCUGUCUUGCUACAGCUGAAAACAUGGCAGACCUGAUAGACGGCUACUGUCGACUGGGAACCUCCUCUGAUACCUCCCUCAUCAUCACAACUAACAAAGAGAGAGACUCCAGUUUCGCCCUGCCUGCUAUCCCUACAGGAGGGAGUAAAGAUGUCCCCGGGAAGAGUGUAAACAACAGACGAGGUGUAGGUUCAGACAUCUACGCUGAGAUCCCAGAGGAGAAGCCAGACUCUGGGUGCAGGUAUAGCCUCUCCAGAGAUGAAAUUUACCUGGGUCGUAUCCUGGGUGAGGGCUUCUUCGGAGAGGUGCAUGAUGGAGUCUACAAAAGCCCGGCAAGGGAGCGUGUGCGUGUAGCAGUAAAGACAUGUAAAGACUGUUCUGAUGACGUAAAGGAGAAGUUUAUGAGUGAAGCUGUGUUGAUGAAGACUCUAGAUCAUCCUCACAUUGUACGUCUGAUCGGGGUCAUUGAGGUGGACCCUGUGUGGAUCGUCAUGGAGCUGUACGAGCACGGAGAGUUGGGCACCUACCUUGUGGAGCAGCAGAGGUCUCUGACCAGUGUGACUCUGGUCCUGUAUAGUCUCCAGAUCUGUAAAGCCCUGGCGUACCUGGAGGGGCUGAACAUGGUACACAGAGACAUAGCUGUGAGGAACGUGUUGGUGGCGUCUGCAGACUGUGUCAAACUGGGAGACUUUGGGCUGUCACGUUACGUAGAAGAAGAAGACUACUACAAAGCUUCUCUUAGCAGAUUACCUAUCAAAUGGAUGGCUCCAGAAUCCAUCAACUUCAGACGCUUCACCACAGCUAGUGAUGUCUGGAUGUUUGGGGUGUGUGUGUGGGAGGUGAUGUCCCUAGGUCAACAGCCGUUCUUCUGGUUGGAGAACGGGGAGGUGAUCAACCAACUAGAGGGUGGUGUCCGUCUGCCCAAACCCUCCCUCUGUCCCCCCACACUCUACACACUUCUCACACACACCUGGAGUUACGACCCACACACACAGACCCUCCUUCACACAGCUGGUCUGCAAGCUCAGUGAUAUUCAUGGGAUGGAGAAGGAGCAGGAGGGAGAGAGGAAGAGACAGAGAGCUCGAGUCAUGACACCCUACGACUCCAAGACCACUGAGCCCCCACCCAAGCCAUCAAGAAAACCUGGUUUCCAUAGCAACACCCUCAGGCCUGGCAUGAGAAUACAGCUACCUGGGUCUCUGUGUGCCAGCUCUCCUGUCCUUGCUAGCCCCCCCAGGGCCUGUGAUGUCACCACAGCCUAUCCCACGUCUCCACGACGAUGCAGUGUCGGGGAGCCAUGUGGGGUGGGGGAUGCGAGGUCUGUCUGGGAGAGGGAGAGGGUGGAGGAUACUCUUCGUAGACAAAGAGAGGACAUGCUGACAGACAGCCGGUGGCUGGAGCAGGAGGAGAAACACCUGGAUCCUGUUCAACAGGAGUUCAGAACAGCUACGCAUGAGGAGGAGCCAGCAGACCAAGCCACACCUCCUCCAGACAAACCCCCAAAGGCCUCAGCUCCACAGCCUACAGCCACGGCAGAACUCGACAGGACAGAUGACCAGGUGUAUGUGGGCGUCAUGGCGAUGGUGAGAGAUGUGGUGCAACUGAAGAAUGAUGUCAACACACUGCCCCCCUCAGAAUACCCCAACGCUGUCAAGGCCGUGGGGUUAACUCUUCGAAGUCUGAUCCAUAGUGUUGAUGAAGUUCUACCAUCACUGCACAGCUCUGCCAGAACAGAGAUCGAGGGAACUGAGAGGCUACUGAAUAAGGAUCUGGGGGAGUUAAUCGCUAAGAUGAGAUUGGUCCAGCAGAACUCUGUGACAUCACUGAAGGGGGAGUGUCAGAGGCAGAUGUUGGGAGUCGCCCACACCUUGGCCCUGGACUCCAAGAACCUUCUAGAUGCCGUGGACCAGGCUAGGAUUAAAGCUAACCUGGCCAUGCCAUAAACCACACACACACACUUCACUUCCUUCAUGUACCUUAUAGAACAUUUUACAGAUGCAGAUGUAGAUUUUCAGUAAGACGUUUAGCAGAGCUUGUUGUCUCUAUUUGAAUGUGUUCUAUAUUUUACUGUUUGGGCUUUUUUUUACUGUGUCUUAUUGUAGAUGUUUGGUACGGAGAGACAGAGAGAUAGUAAAUAAACAGUGUUUCAUCAUGGUAAUUAAA